rnacentral:lncRNA from 1 species
AUGCCGCACACAUGGAUACUGGAGUGCCUAAAGCUGUAUAACAUCAACAGGACACAAAGAGAGUUCAUCCAGAACUCCAUGAAGCUGUGGAACAUGACUCUGGAGGCCAACUCAAAUCCAUUUGCGCGGGUGAGCAUCAGAUGUGGCAUAUAUCAAGGAGAUGCCCUGUCCCCCCUGCUGUUCUGCAUAGGCCUAAAUCCCCUUAGCCAGAUCAUCACCAAGAGUGGCUAUGGGUACCAGUUCCGAAGUGGAACAACUGUCAGCUACCACCUCUACAUGGAUGACAUCAAGCUGUAUGCCAAGAAUGAGCGUGACAUCGAUUCCCUGAUCCACCUCACUAGGAUCUACAGCAAAGACAUCGGGAUGUCAUUCGGACUAGAUAAAUGUGGCCGGAUGAUAUCUAGAAGGGGAAAGGUGAUCACAACUGACGGGGUUGAACUACCUGAAGGGAAUAUCACAGAUGUGCAGGACAGCUACAAGUACCUGGGGAUCCCGCAGGCAAAUGGUAACCAUGAGGAGGCAGCUAGGAGGUCAGCCACAGCCAAAUACCUGCAGAGGUUAAGACAGGUCCUGAAAAGUCAGCUGAAUGGUAAGCAUAAGAUCCAGGCCAUAAACACCUACGCCCUGCCAGUAAUCAGAUACCCUGCUGGCAUAAUACCCUGGCCACUGGAAGAGAUACAAGCCACUGACAUCAAGACAAGGAAGCUCCUCACCAUGCACGGAGGGUUUCACCCUAAGUCCAGUGAUGUGAGGCAGUACACAAAGCAAAAGGAAGGGGGCCAAGGACUAGUAAGUGGCCGAACUACUGUCCAGGAGGAAACAACAAGCCUCCGAGAGUACAUCAAGAAGAUGGCCCCCACUGACCCACUGCUGAGUGAAUGCCUCAGGCAACAAAAGCCCACCAAGGAGGAGGAACCUGAGGGGCUAUCAUGGAAGGACAAGCCCAUGCAUGGAAUGUACCACCGACAAAUUGAGGAAGUGGCUGAUAUUGAGAAAACAUACCAGUGGCUGACAAAGGCCGAACUGAACGACAGCACAGAGGCUCUACUCAUGGCUGCACAAGAACAGGCCCGGAGCACCAGAGCAAUAGAGGCCAGGGUCUACCAUACCAGACAAGACCCCAGGUGCAGACUGUGUGGAGAUGCCCCUGAGACAGUCCAGCACAUCACAGCAGGGUGCAAGAUGCUAGCAGGCAAGGCAUACAUGGAACGGCAUAACUAA